UGCAGUCGAACGAUGAAGCCGGGUGCUUGCACCGGGUGGAUUAGUGGCGAACGGGUGAGUAUCACGUGAGUAACCUGCCCUUGACUCUGGGAUAAGCCUGGGAAACUGGGUCUAAUACCGGAUAUGACCAGUCCUCGCAUGGGGUGCUGGUGGAAAGAUUUAUCGGUCUUGGAUGGACUCGCGGCCUAUCAGUUUGUUGGUGAGGUAAUGGCUCACCAAGGCGAUGACGGGUAGCCGGCCUGAGAGGGUGACCGGCCACACUGGGACUGAGACACGGCCCAGACUCCUACGGGAGGCAGCAGUGGGGAAUAUUGCACAAUGGGCGCAAGCCUGAUGCAGCGACGCCGCGUGCGGGAUGACGGCCUUCGGGUUGUAAACCGCUUUCAGCAGGGAAGAAGCUUUUUGUGACGGUACCUGCAGAAGAAGCGCCGGCUAACUACGUGCCAGCAGCCGCGGUAAUACGUAGGGCGCGAGCGUUAUCCGGAAUUAUUGGGCGUAAAGGGCUCGCAGGCGGUUUGCCACGUCUGCUGUGAAAGCCCGGGGCUUAACUCCGGGUGUGCAGUGGGUACGGGUAGACUAGAGUGCAGUAGGGGAGACUGGAAUUCCUGGUGUAGCGGUGAAAUGCGCAGAUAUCAGGAAGAACACCGAUGGCGAAGGCAGGUCUCUGGGCUGUUACUGACGCUGAGGAGCGAAAGCAUGGGGAGCGAACAGGAUUAGAUACCCUGGUAGUCCAUGCCGUAAACGUUGGGCACUAGGUGUGGGGGACAUUCCACGUUUUCCGCGCCGUAGCUAACGCAUUAAGUGCCCCGCCUGGGGAGUACGGGCCGCAAGGCUAAAACUCAAAGGAAUUGACGGGGGGCCCGCACAAGCGGCGGAGCAUGCGGAUUAAUUCGAUGCAACGCGAAGAAUCUUACCAAGGCUUGACAU
rnacentral:rRNA from 1 species